rnacentral:rRNA from 1 species
UACGAAGGGGGCGAGCGUUGUUCGGAUUUACUGGGCGUAAAGGGCGCGCAGGCGGCCGCAUUUGUCAGGCGUGAAAGCCCCGGGCUUAACCUGGGAACUGCGUUUGAUACGGUGUGGCUAGAGUUCGGGAGAGGAGAGUGGAAUUCCCAGUGUAGAGGUGAAAUGCGCAGAUAUCGGGAAGAACACCCGUGGCGAAGGCGGCUCUCUGGGACGGUACUGACGCUGAGACGCGAAAGCGUGGGGAGCGAACAGG